CCUACGGGCGGCAGCAGUGGGGAAUAUUGCACAAUGGGGGAAACCCUGAUGCAGCGACGCCGCGUGGGUGAAGAAGUAAUUCGUUAUGUAAAGCUCUAUCAGCAGGGAAGAAAAUGACGGUACCUGAGUAAGAAGCCCCGGCUAACUACGUGCCAGCAGCCGCGGUAAUACGUAGGGGGCAAGCGUUAUCCGGAUGUACUGGGUGUAAAGGGAGCGUAGACGGCAGCGCAAGUCUGGAGUGAAAUGCCGGGGCCCAAACCCGGAACUGCAGUGGAAACUGGGAAGCUUGAGUGCAGGAGAGGUAAGCGGAAUUCCUGGUGUAGCGGUGAAAUGCGUAGAUAUCAGGAGGAACACCGGCGGCGAAGGCGGCUUACUGGACUGUAACUGACGUUGAGGCUCGAAGGCGUGGGGAGCAAACAGGAUUAGAUACCCGAGUAGUC
rnacentral:rRNA from 1 species